CCUACGGGGGACAGCAGUGGGGGAUAUUGCACAAUGGGGGAAACCCUGAUGCAGCGACGCCGCGUGUGGGAAGACGGUCCUCUGGAUUGUAAACCACUGUCCCCAGGGACGAAAAUGUCGGUCCCUGGGGCGGCAGCUCCGGCUAACUACGUGCCAGCAGCCGCGGUACGACGUAGGGAGCGCGCGUUGUCCGGAAUUACUGGGUGUAAAGGGAGCGUAGGCGGGGAUGCAAGUUGGGGGUCAAAACUACCGGCUCAACUGGUAGUCGCACUCAAAACUGCAGCUCUUGAGUGAAGUAGAGGCAGGCGGAAUUCCUGGUGUAGCGGUGAAAUGCGUAGAUAUUAGGAGGAACACCAGUGGCGAAGGCGGCCUGCUGGGCUUUGACUGACGCUGAGGCUCGAAAGUGUGGGGAGCGAACAGGAUUAGAUACCCGGGUAGUC
rnacentral:rRNA from 1 species